AGAUAUGAAAACGACCUUCCAACCACAUUUAUAGUUCACUUCGUUUUAUCUCAAUUGAACAUAUCUAAAGAAAGGAAGUUAAACUGAAAGUCAUAUGGAGGCACUCUCAGUAUAUCAAUACAUAACACAAAGUGGUGCAAGUCCAGAUGUGGUAACCUACACUACACUUAUGAAGGAUUUUCUAAGGGCAAAGGAGUUCGACAAGGUGCAAAAACAAUCACAUACUUCAUCAUCAUUGAAUUUGGCAUCUAUUUCUUUACUUUUCUAGUCCUUUAGGUUGUGUUUGUUACACGUGUAGUUGGAAUUGGAUAAAUGCUUGGUAGGUGAAUUCCAAGUACUUGUAAUAUAUGGGGAUAUGGAGUCUGCUAGAUGUUUAGCGGAUAGGAAAGCCAUAGAGUUGCUUCAAACUGAAAACAUUGUUCUUCAAUGUGGACAUUAGUUAUUUUUAAGCCUUA